rnacentral:sRNA from 15 species
AGCUGCGCCGUGUCGGGUGUGCGGAAACGCCCCCGAAAGUCCUGCUAUAGAGGCUUUGACAACACGUAGCGCAGCUUC